AGUGAACGCUGGCGGUAGGCCUAACACAUGCAAGUCGAACGGCAGCACAGUAGGAGCUUGCUCUUACGGGUGGCGAGUGGCGGACGGGUGAGGAAUACAUCGGAAUCUACUUUUUCGUGGGGGAUAACGUAGGGAAACUUACGCUAAUACCGCAUACGACCUACGGGUGAAAGCAGGGGAUCUUCGGACCUUGCGCGAUUGAAUGAGCCGAUGUCGGAUUAGCUAGUUGGCGGGGUAAAGGCCCACCAAGGCGACGAUCCGUAGCUGGUCUGAGAGGAUGAUCAGCCACACUGGAACUGAGACACGGUCCAGACUCCUACGGGAGGCAGCAGUGGGGAAUAUUGGACAAUGGGCGCAAGCCUGAUCCAGCCAUACCGCGUGGGUGAAGAAGGCCUUCGGGUUGUAAAGCCCUUUUGUUGGGAAAGAAAAGCAGCAGGUUAAUACCCCGCUGUUCUGACGGUACCCAAAGAAUAGGCACCGGCUAACUUCGU
rnacentral:rRNA from 1 species